rnacentral:lncRNA from 10 species
UGGGAUGAGUGUGUGAUUAUGCAGGAGUGUGAGUGUGGAUAUGCAUGAGCAUGAGUGUGAUUAUGCAUGAGCGUGAGCAUGGAUAUGGAGGAGUGUGGGUGUGAUUAUGCAUGAGUGUGAGUGUGGAUAGGCAGGAGUGUGAGUGUGGAUGGCAUGAGUGUGAGUGUGGAUAUGCAAGUGUGAGUGUGGAUAUGCAUGAGUGGGAGUGUGGAUAGGCAUGAGUGUGAGUGUGGAUAGGCAUGAGUGUGAGUGUGGAUCUGCAUGAGUGUGAGUGUGGAUAGGCAUGAGUGUGAGUGUGGAUAUGCAGGAGUGUGAGUGUGGAUAGGCAUGAGUGUGAGUGUGAUUCUGCAUGAGUGUGUGUGGAUAUGCAUGAGUGUGAGUGUGGAUAGGCAUGAGUGUGAGUGUGGAUAUGCAGGAGUGUGAGUGUGGAUAGGCAGGAGCAUGAAUGUGGAUAGGCAUGAGUGUGAGUGUGAUUCUGCAUGAGUGUGUGUGGAUAUGCAUGAGUGUGAGUGUGGAUAGGCGUGAGUGUGAGUGUGGAUAUGCAGGAGUGUGAGUGUGGAUAGGCAGCAGCAUGAAUGUGGAUAGGCAUGAGUGUGUGUGUGGAUAUGCAUGAGUGUGAGUGUGGAUAGGCAUGAGUGUGAGUGUGAUUCUGCAUGAGUGUGAGUGUGGAUUUGCAGGAGUGUGAGUGUGGAUAGGCAGGAGCAUGAAUGUGGAUAGGCAUGAGUGUGAGUGUGAUUCUGCAUGAGUGUGAGUGUGGAUAGGCAUGAGUGUGAGUGUCAUUCUGCAUGAGUGUGAGUGUGGAUAGGCAUGAGCGUGAGUGUGAUUAUGCGUGCGUAUGAGUGUGAUUAUGCAUGGGUGAGUGUAAAUAUGCAGGUUUCAGUGCGAAUACACAUUGUCAGUGUGAGUGUGAUUAUUCAUGAGUGUGUGACUAUGCCUGCGUAUGAGUGAAUGCAUGUGUCAGUGUGAAUAUGCAUUACGGUUAGUGUGAGUGUGAUUAUUCAUGGGUGUGAGUGUGUGCAUGCACACCCCCAAAGGAACAUGCAUGGAGGGGAACACCAAAUGUUCCACUGGGGCCUGGUGUGUAUGGAGGAAUCUCAAGGGUCCUUCCUGGAAUCUUUGUCGUUCCUGGGCCUCCGAGUUGCUCUAGGUAGAGACGUGUUUUUCAGUGACCCAACACAGCCUCCAGCGCCCUGCUCCUCUGGAAGAGGAAGGCGUCCACACCCGGGCAGCCUCUCCAGCCUGGCCUCACCCAAUAUGUACCUGGGCUGCUUUGAACCCUCAGAAUUUCUUCAAGGGGUUCUCCCAUUGGCACCUGCUUGUCCAUCCUUUUUUGUGGGUGGAGCUUCAGGAACAAGCUUUGCUCUGUUUCCCUGGGGUCCCUCUGGGGUCCAGGUCUCAGUGGCCCAGUGAGUCUCCACCACCCCUGCUGACACCAGGGAGCCCCUGGCCUGUACUGGCUCCCUGCCCCCUGCCCUGCCUUCUGGAACGUGUUGCCUCACUCAGCACCUGUGUCCUGUCUCACAACAGAUUUUUUAAAAUUGUGUUUUCUAAAUGUUUUAAUAGGGAGCUUUAAAAAAGACACAGAAGCAAUGUAAUGAGAGAGUGUGGUAUCUGGAUGCUCACAUGCCCAUCCCCCAGCUUCAAUAAUGAGCACCACCAGGCCCCCACUGGGUUAUUUUAAAGCAAAUUAUUCCAUAUUUAAACUUUGGUCUUGGGACCCAGAAGAGUUCCUGCAUAGAUGUGGCCGAUUCAUGGCGCCUGUCUUCUUAUGGCUCUGAGUGGCUCCAAACCUCUUUGCUGGUCUGGCUAUGUAUGUGUUGAAGAAAUCAGUGUCUUUGCCUGUGGAACUUCCUGCCCUCUGCACGGUCGUUUGCGUCCAUGCGGAGAGCCUCAUGGUGCCCUUCACCCUGCACUUCUGCCCAGCAGUGCCACGAAUCUGUGCUUAGCCCUGAGGCUGGGCUAAGCAGCCGCACACACCUGCUGUGUCACUGCACACACCCUUGGGAUGGG